rnacentral:lncRNA from 1 species
CCUGCAGUUGCUAUUUCUAAAAUUUUCCUCCAUUUUUCCCACUUAGCCCACCAACAAAACCGAUCCAGGCCCAACGAAAUGGCCAUGACUCGGCCCACACCCCAUAUACCCCUUCUCCCUUAUCAACAACCACAACAAUCAACAAAACACAGUAACAGCGUACAAUUGCAACACACGAACAACGACCAACACAUACGCACACGGCUGCGUACGACCGCUACAACAACAAAAUCAUCGAGAACAGCCCAUAACGCUGUAACAACAGCGCUCAACCAGCAACAACACGCACAACAACCAACAACGAUUCAACAGCAAAAUACAAAAUUGCCCCUAUUACCGUUUUGCCCUCUCAGAUAGUCGUUCAUGGCUAAAAAUCAGAAAAUCUUUCAUCUUUUUCAGUGUGUGGUUCACCAAUUCGGGAAACCAUUAAUUCACCUUCAUUGACCAUAAAACCAACUGCUCUUUUCUCUUUUUCCACUGAUCUUGACGUACAAAUACCAUUAAUGGUUUUUCGUACUACUGUGGAACUCAAAUCUCUAAAUAAAUCAGCUCAAUCCGAAUUUGAAAUCCAUUGAAUUCAAAUCCAAAACCCUAGUGGACUCCCCCCAUUUGCUUCUAUAAAUAGGUGAUAGGGGAUAUGAGGGAAAUGAGAAGGAUUUUUGGGAAAAAAUUGGGGAUUCUGGAGGAGCAAUUCUCUAAUCCCACGUAACCAAAAACUCAUAAAGAGAAAUCUUCAACUUCGCUAAAAUCGCAGAAUUUCGAACAAGGUUGAUUCAAACUCCAACGGUGGAAGUUGUUGUCGGUCGCAACUCGUUGCCCAGUUCGCUGCUUCGAAAAAGGUAAAAAACUCAUUUUUUUAAUAUUUGCCGUCUUCAAAUCGUGUGACUGUAAUUUGUAGCACCGCCGUGAUUUGUUGUUGAACGUAAUGAGUAAUUUAAUUCAAUACAUGGACUGGUCUUGUUGAUUAUGUGUCUGAUAUAGUGGCGGUCUUAAUAUUAAGGUUUGAAAUUAGUUUGAUAGCAUGUUGUCGAAAAGCCUUGAGCUUUAUGGAAUUGUGCACUUGUUCUAUGCUGUUUUCAUAUGUUUAUUACUAUGUCGUGCUUAUAGAAAACUAAGGCAUCGAAUUUAUGUUGAUUUAUUUGGGAUGUAUGAAUGUCGGUUUAAGAAUUGGUUUUUAGUAGGUUCUUAUUUGUUGUGUUUCUUGGGUGCAUAAUAACUAUUUUUAUUAAGAUGAGUUGGGGUUACGGAAAGACGGUGAAUAUGUCUGUUUUAAUACUCGCAUAUAAAUUAUUCACGAACGAAUUAUAUGUGUUGUGAAAUCUUUUAGGUCAGCAUGCCUAAAAGUCUUUUUAACUUUUUUGCUUUUCUAGGACAUACCUUUAGCUAGCUUUAUCAAAAAAUAGAAAUUAAUGACUGUGAUUAAAUAUGCAUUUUUUUCUUUUCCAAACAUUCAGAUAUGUUGCAAUUUCUUUAUAGUGUUGAGUCUAGGAUACUAUGUGCAAACAUAUAAUGAGGACUAAUGUCGUUUUGCCUUGAACACACUAUAAUGAGGACUAAUGUUGUCAUCUUGAUAAUAUUAAGACCAACUGUGCAUUUGCCAAUUAGUUGAUACGUUUAAAAUAUGGGCAGAUUUGGAUUUAGUAACACCAUUCUAGUGUGCCCUAUUUAGAAAGUUGAUCUUGAUGAGUUUUUCAUGGUGUGAUUUUUCUUUGUUUUGAUAAAGAAGUUUAUUAUGUGGGCAUUGAUUUAGUGGAACUAAAAAAAUAAAAAACCAUGUGUUUUAUCUUUUCUUUUUCCGCUUUUAGAUGAUAGCGUUCAUGACUCCCACAUGGUUUGUUUGAGUUUUUAUCUUUUUUCAUUCAUGCCUCCAUGAACAAUUAGUAACAUUGCUACGUUAUCUUGAAAUUAUACUGAAGGUUAGAUCCUAAUCUUUAUUUCUCUUAUCUUAUGCAUGUGAAAUCCCCCCUUCAUUUUCUUGGGAUGAAAUCACCCAACAUUGAGUCGAAACCUCAAGUCCAAGUCCUAAGGGGACUGUUUUGUGCUGGUAUACAAAAGAUAUACACCAAUAUACAGGUUUAGAAAUGGAGGAUGUGGGAAAAGGAAGCUGAUUUCAUGGCUGGUGGAUUAAAUUUAUGUAUAUUUGACUAAAAUACAGUCACAUAUACACAGGAUCUACAUUAAACCAUGAGAAAGAGAGUUGUGAUAUACAGAGCGAAAAUAGACCUAAAGUCCAUAAGGGAAGCCCCAAGCUGGGCAGCUUUUAAUCUCUUUUAAUCUCUGAUUUACUUGUAAGGGUUGGCCCGGUUCAUACCCACUCCGUGGGUGUCGGGGAAGGGAUGUCUGGGCAGCCUCACCCCAGCUUCGCUGGAGGGCUGAUUCGAACCCAGGACCUGGCACCCCACGGUAAGCAAGCUUACCGCUGAGCCAAGCCGGCCCUUCCUCUUAUUUACUUGUAAUUUACAAUUUUUGCUUGUCUAUUUAUAUUAGUACUAAUUUUACUUAAUUAACCUAAUGAUUUCCCACAUUGCCAUUUCAUUUAUCUCGAAAUUCUCAUUUAUUAUAUAAUUUUUUCCACGUAAUUCAUAAAAAAGAAAAAAAUGACACUUGUUUCAUUCAUAUGACUAAUUGUCUACUUUGGUUACAAAACAAUUUCUUCAAACUAGUUAAUUCCUUUCUUGUAAAUCCUAACUUUCCAUAAUUGAUAAAAAGUUUUUUUUUUAACAUGAUACUUGAUGUUUUUUUUUUCAAAGGGUGUUGGUUAUAAUAAAAUGACCAUUUCUGUAAUAAUAAUAAUAAUAAAUAAUCAUAUAAUUCUCACUUUUCCAUAAAAAUCAACGUAUCUCCUUUUUAAAUUCAAAUAUGCAAUCCAGUUUAGAUAAGUUUCUUUUUUAACUCAUGUAAACAUUUCAUAACUUUAAUUUCUUAAAAAAUAAUUAUGAAUCAAGUAAAGAAGAAAUUUUUUAAUCUUUUCUCAAAAAAAAAUUAAUCAUGAACCAAGCGAAUCAUUUCGUAAUUUUUUCUCAAAAUUAAUAUUUGGUUAAGUAACACGUUGUAACUCUUUUUUUUUUUUUUUUCUAAAUUCAAGUAGACUAUUUCUCAAACAAAUGUCAUUCUUAGAUGUGUAGAUAAAUAAUUUUACUAUUUAAAAUUUAACCUUUUUGUAAAGUUAGGUCACCCUUUUUUAAGUUAGUAAAAAAUGAGUGUUUUGGUGAACCGUUUUAAAACGAACGCUCCUAAGUCCCGUAAAAACCUUCUUAGGGUGUUAAUUGAACCCUUACUCAGUUUCUUUGAUUUUGAAGGUUUAUUUCUAUUUUACAUCUUCGAAAUCUCUUUAAAGUUUUUCUUGAUGUUUUUGAUAAAAAAUCAAGUGGCGACUCUGUUAAUUUUUUUAAAAUUAUUGUGAAUAGUUUGAAAAGUUCAAAAGCAUUUUCUUAAAAAUUUGAAAAGGGAUAAAAUGGCAUCCCUUGGUCUGUAUCAAAUCAAGCUUCAAUGUCUUUCAUUUGGCAUACAUAGUUUGUAAACCUUGUAUUUCUUGAGCUUGACUUCUAGUGAAUGGAUUGAAGGGCCCUUGGAUUGUAUUAUCCUCUCCUUCUUGAAAAGGAUUCGUCUUCAAAUACGGAUCCUGCAAAAGAGAAGUGUUGGUUCUAGGCAAAGUGCUACUACCAUGGUUAGCGAACAUCAAGAACUUAGUAUGGGCAUAAAAUUCCCUUUAUUUUGCCAUGUUCAUGUCCUCUUCUUGGCUUGGGUUUUCCAAGGCCCUAAUACUCAUCAUUUGCCUCAUCAUAAGGUUGAGAUUCACUAUCUCUCCUUCUUGAGGCCAAACAUCCCCAUGUGGAACUUUCUUCAUUAAACAAUUGGGUACACUAAGUUCCCCUUCACCUUUCAUAAUUUCACCUUCAUCCUCAAAGUCUUCCUCACCAUUAAUUACUUGGUUCACCGUAUCCCCAGUAAAGUAGGAAUCACCUCACACCAAAACUAUGUUUCUUCGAUUGGGACAUUCACUUGCCUUAUGACCCCAACCUUGACACUUAAAACAAACAAUACCUCUAGGAGUGUUAGAAUGUGAAUUACCUUCAACCAUUUGUGGAUACUUUGGAGUAGCCUUCUCAACAGGCCUUUUUCUCAUAGGACUUGUUGAAAUCCUUAUUCUUGUUCCACCCGAAUGAACUAGAAAUUAUAUAGCCUUUAUUUAAUGACUCUUUUGCAUUGUUGUUCCUCUCAACCUCAAUGUCCGCUUUAACAAGAUUUUCCAUACUUUCAAACUUAGGAACAACUAAUGGAGAAACAAUGUCAUAGUCCAACUCACCAUUGAAUCUACCUAUAUAAUGAUUUGGUGGUUGGACAAUGUUAAGAUGAAGGCUCAAGUUUUGGAAUUCCUUAUAGUAGUCUUCUACAUCUCUACCUCCUGUUCACAAAUUAUAAAUCUUGGUGAGUUGUUCAUGUUUGAACCUCUCUGUUACAUACCUCUCCCUUAUAAGUGUCUUCAAUUCAUUCUAAUUCAAAAGGUCGGGAUUACUAUUUCUCUCCCUUUGCACUCUCUUAGUCGCCCAUCAAGUAGAAGCUUACCCUUUAAAUUGAGCAAUUACAUAGGCCGUUUUUUGUGUCCAGUUAACUCAUAAAGUUGGAAGAUCCUAUUCCAUUGUACUUCCUAAUCAAGGUAAAUGGAUGGAUCACUAGUUUCUUUAAUGGUAGGAAGGGUGAUCUUGAUGGAGUUAAGACUCGUGUCUCGACCUACAUUUCCUUCUUGAUCCCAUUGAUGAUCUUUUUGAACUUGGGCUCGGUUUACCAAGUUUCCUCUUCCGUGGGUGAUACAGCUCAAUGAGCUCCUUUUUCUCUUCCUUCUUGAGCUUCUUGUCUAUUCCACAUAAAUUCUACAAAUAAGGCCGCUUCAUUCAACUCUCAAUUUCCUCCAUAAUGUUUCUCUCCCUCCAUAUCUUUAAUUUGGAUUAUUUGAUUUUGGUUAGCUGGGAUUUGAAGCGGUAGAUUUUGGUUAAGGGGUUGAUUUUGUAGAGCUUCUUGGUUUACUUGAUUGAAUUGGGGUUGUAGUGGACGAACGGGAUUUCGGUUGUUUGGGUAAGUAAUGGCUUGGAUGAUGGGUUCAUGUGUUUGCCCCGGUUGGUUGAGCAUUGGGUGAAGUAUUUUUGGAGUUAUAGUAGCGGAGGUGUUAUGAGCAUGGACACUUGUUGAAGCAUGUUGGUUUUAAGGAGUGGAUGUGGUGGAAUCUAGACGGACUUCAAAGGUAUCCAUCAUCUCUGAGAGAGUUUUCUAUGCCUUUCAUUCUUGUAUCCAUCAAUUCCAAUCUUUGAUUUACAUCUUGUUUCACACUUAUUAUAGCCGCCAAUGAAGUCUCCAUGUUUAUCUCUCCCGGAGCACUUUGGUUAUCAACCCCCAAUGCCAUUAUACCUGAUAAGAAAUACUAAAUAAGAUUAAAAACAACAAACAAGGUAAGUUAAGAAAUCAACAUCACAAUCUCUACACUCUUUUUGUAUUGCCUCACACUUGGAUUCAUAAGUGUUGAAGGCUUGCUUAUACUUCAAUGAUAGAAGAAGUGUCAAUUGCUACCCUCGAUCAGAAUGGGUUUUUGUUUGAACGACCCAAAGAAACACUUACGAACUUGAGCCAAGAAUUUAUGGCGAAAUUAAACUAGAAAAGCACACAAAAAAAUGAGACGAAGAAAGAAAACAAACUUCAAGUGCUAAUUCACAACUAAAUAGGCGGAUUACUAGUUGUUAAUUAGCGCUAGAAUAAAAUAAAAGAUGUUUAAGAAUCAAAGAAAUGAAACUAAGAGUCUAAAAUGAGCUUACGGAACUUUUCCGGAGUGAUUGAAGGUGCGGCCGGCUGGCACUGAGGUGAUUGAUCGUCCCUUUGGUCAUUGCCCCUUAUCCAGUAAGUGGGUUGAGCUGCUUCCAAGCGACUAGAGAUGCGGCUGGCCGACACUGAGGGUGACUGGCCAUCCCUCUGGUUGUCCCACAUCUCCAGGUGAGUAUUUUGGGGGGCCUUUGUUCUUUCUUAGAAUAUUCUUUGGAAUAAACAAGUAUAACUUACUUUUCUUCAAUUCUUUUGGAUCAAACCCUUACUUUUGUAGCUUCUUCUUCAACAAGAUAUAAAGAGCUUAAAGAACACCCAAAAUUUGAUUCUCAAUUAAACAAACUCAUAAUUCUUUAAAAUUUGAAACCCAAGCUCCUUUCAAGCUUUCGAGAAAACCCAAUAGUUUUUAUACCUCAAAACUCACCAAAUAAUUUCAAAAUUUGGAUCCCAUUUGAAAUUUCAUCAAACUUAAGCUUCAACAAUGGUGGGUCACUCAAAACUUAUCCGAUUAAGCUCAAAUUUUAGAUAAUGACUCAAAUAGCACUAGAGAAAGUUAUUCUAGCACUAGAAACGCAAAAAAAAAAAACAUACAAAUUAAAAAAUCAAAUUUCAAAACUAACCCAAAAUGUGAAUGAAAUUAUUUUUGUGAUUUUCGAGAUAACAAACCUAAGACUAAAAUCGUUGGAAUGAUCCUAAGCUCGGCUCUGAUACCAAAUGAUACAAUUUCCAAAUACGAAAACGAGUAUAAAGUAUGGAAAUCAAAAGAUAUUAAAGUAAAGAUAAUAAAUAGAUAGACACAAGAUAAGAAACAUAAGUAAACCAAAGGUAUUUCAAACCAAUGAGCCUCAAACAUAAUCCUAAUACAAACACCUAACUCUUACAUAGAACGAAAGGGUAUCAAACACCAAAUCAACCUUUGUUUCUAAGCAAACGUUCAACAAGAACUCUCCAAUCACACUAUCAAGUUCUUGGUUCAUCAAUAAUAAAAACAAGCUUAUGAAAAUAACCUUUGGAAUUUCUAUUUAUUGUCUCUAUUAAGGCCCAAAAGUGACCUUGACAAGAAAGGAAUUGUAAUACCCCGCCAAAUCCUACGCUUAAUUCAGUCCUUUAGGCUUGUCAAGGGUCCCAAACUUAGAAUAUUUUAGCUAAGUACUCAGACUUAGUGUCAUUUUAGCCUACGAAGGUUGGCAAUCUUAUUUCGCGACCUUUACAUCCCUUAAAUGUUGAUGUUUAGGUUAAUUCAUGAUCAGGAAUGUCCGUAGGCGUUUUCGAUCAAGUUUCGGAUUUUUCAGACGUCAUUUGAGGCUUCUUUGGAAUUUUAAAACAAUGGAUCAAUGCGAUCUUGGCGCGCGUUGAUUAAUAUUUUACCAGCUACCAAUGUCUAAUUCCAGUAAAUCGAUGCGAACAUGGCGUGACGUGUUGGCUAUCGCGUCGAUGGUAUCGACGCGCUGCGUUGACCUGCGUGUUGGCAGGCCAAUUUUCAGUCAUUAAAAGACCGCAUUCUUGGGGGUAUUUAGGUCUUUUUAUCUCGACCCUCAGCCCCCAAACACGAAAUUAAACCCCCUAUAGAGCAAAUAUAGUCAUUCUUUCUCAAAGUUGCUCAAGAACAAAGCCCUAGAAGAUUCAAUUUCAAAUCAGGAACUCAAGAUUCAAACAUAAACUUUCAGAAAUUCUUCAACAAAGAUAUGUGGAGUGUUCAUCCAAGGGUUCCUUCCACCCUUAGAGUCCAAGAAUCUCUUUUGAACUUUAAGUAAUUGAUUUUAUGAUUUUCAUGGUUGGAAUUAAAGUGUAUCCAUGAUUGCUAUUUAGAUUAAGUUCCUAAUUCAUGAUUAUAUAUAUAUAUAUAUAUAUAUAUCAUGUGAAAUUGAUUAUUAUGUGUGUAGAUUCAUGUGAAUCCAUGAUAAACCCUUGACUUGUGAAAUUAAAGAUAAAUUAAGAUGCUCACUUGUUUUUCAAUACUAAGUGCAUAUACUAUGCUCACCAAGUGUUUGAUAAAUUGUCCAUGUGAAUGAUUAAGAGAAUGAAAUCAUGUCAAGUUAGCUUAUGUGCAAGUUAUAUCAUGCAAGUGUUUGUCAAAAUGCCCCAAUAAAUGAAUAAUGAUCAAGCUCAUAGUUUACAUGUUUUAUGUUAUGCCAUGUCUCUUUAUUUAUGCUAUCGAGUCCUGAGGGUACUUGUACCCGACAAUUUAGCUGAUUACCUAGAGCCAUGGUCAGUCAUAGAAUAGUAUCAGUCACAACACGAUCAGUAGUACUCUCAGUCAGCUACAGAACUCAAGAAAAACUCAGUAGAAUCCAUAUUAGUCCAGUCUAAUUCAGUAUCUAUUUCAGACCUCGGUAAACUCAGUCAGCUAACAGAAUUCAGUAGUAUUCCGUCGGUCCACAAAACACAGUGAACUCAGUUCAGUUAAGCUAAACAGUAAUCUCAAUAAUCGUUCAGUCCAGCCUAGUAUAGACUAGAAAUCAGUUUAGUGUCUAUUCAGUUGAGAGUAGGAUUUAGCACCGAGUUAACCCAGGGAUGGGGGCAUUCCUAUCAGUAGAGGGUUUGACCCUUAGUAGUAAUUCCUGCGUUAUAGAACUACGUAGCCAGCGUAGAUUGAGGUAUCUUCUUGCCAGAUGUUAUGAGGGUUGAUACUUCUCAUCUGAGUUAUCCUGCCAGCAAGGGUUGACGAAAGAGCUUUCUGUCAGAGAGAGUUAGCUCACAGCUUGUCCUUACCCGUGGCACGAUAUUGACACCCUUCCAGCUAGGGUUACAGGUUGGACCCCAAUUAGUUAGAGAAGGGGCAUGUCGGUUAGAUAAUUACCUCCCACAGUUUCAGUUCUAGUCUAAGUGUCAGAAUAGAACUAAGUUCAGUUCUACAAAUUCAGGACUAUCAGACAUAGUCACUCAGCUCAGUAUGAAACUCAGUAUGGCUCCACAGUAUUCAAAAUUAUCAGAUACAAUUAUUCAUAUAAUCAGUAAUACAGUAUUCAUAAACACAGAUAUCGGUUAUUAGUAUUCUGUAUCAGUACUCAGUAUUAGCACGGUCUCAGUUACAAUCUAUGUAUUUAUGCAUGUAAUCUUACUCAGUCAUACUCAUAUUAUUCAGUCAUUAUUGUGCAUGCAUAUGAACCCAUGUAUAUCAGCCUACCUCACUGAGCAUACCAGUACAUUCAAAGUACUGACGCAUGUUUUUCUUUACGCUAUAAUGUCUUAUUUCAUAAGUUCAGACGUACGGGCUCCAGAGGACCCUUAACAGUUCAGAUUCUCAGCUUUCAAAGUAGUGGUGAGUCCUCAUAGUUCGAGGACAUGCUUAUUAUUUAUAGUACUUCAAUUUUAUUUCAGUAGAUGGAGUUAGUUAGGGGUUUGUCCUAUCAACUCCCUAGUUCAGACAGUUAGAGGCUUUUUCAGACUAAAGUAUUUUCAGAUAGUUGUUCAGUACUUAUAUUUAGUUUUGGUAUUUUGAUAUUGCAUUCAGAUUUAUUUAUAGAUUUGAACCUUAUGGCAUAUGUUUCCACCUAUUUCUGCAUAAUUAUAGUAUUUAUUACUCAGUUAUUACAGAAGGUAUCAGUCAUGGGUUAGUUUGUGGUCCUUUGGGAUUAUAAGCAUCGUGUAGUAUCCGGGGUACAAACUUGGGGCGUUACAAACUUGAUAUUAGAGCCUAAGGUUUAACAGAGUCCUAGGAAGUCUAAAAAACACAUCUAGUAGAGUAUUACGUAUGGGUGUGUUGUGUGCCACACUUAUGGACAAGAGUCUACGAGAUGUUUUAUGAAAAGUUUCCUUUCUUUCAGUAUUCAUGUCUUGUGAGUGAGCAUGAGCUCCAGUUAUACUCUCUUUUUUAUCCUAGGUUCUCUUUCAUUUACAGAAUAUGCCUCUAAAGAGGACUCAGAGAAGAGGAACGGGAGAUCAGUCAACCCCCUCAACCUAUCCAUCUAGAUCCUUUGGGCGAACAUGUCUCCCACGCGGAGUUUAAAGCAGCCUUUACCACCCUAGCUCAUUCUGUGACAGCCCAAAAUAAGCAUCUAGCUGUGGAUCCGAUCAACCUAGUGGCCAAUACUGCUACUGCUAGGAUUCAGAACUUUACCCAAAUGAACCCUCUAUCAUUUAUCUGGUCUAAGUCAGAUGAGGACCCUCAUGAAUUUCUUGAUCAUCUGCAAAAGGUUACCUAUAUCAUGGGAGUGACUGCUGUUGAGAGCGCUGAGUUGCCGCAUAUCAGUUAUAGGAUGUGGCUCACUCAUGGUUCAAAUAGUGGAAGGCAGAAAGGGCUACAGAUGCAGGGCCCACAAAAUGGGAGGAAUUUAUAGUUACUUUUCUGGAUAGGUUUUUCCCGUUAGAGUUGAGGAAAGCGAAUGUUUUGGAGUUUAUAAACCUGAAGCAGGGUAAUAUGAUAGUGCAGGACUAUUCUCUCAAGUUUACUCAUUUAGCCAGAUAUGCCCCGCAUGUUGUAGCAGAUAGCAGAGCGAAGAUGAGUAAGUUCGUGUUAGGAGUGUCUAGCAGCAUGGUCAAGGAGUGUAUGACCACAAUGCUUAUUAAGGAGAUAGACAUAGCCAGGCUCAUGUUCCAUGCCCAGCAGAUAGAGGAGGCCAAGAAUAAAGAGAAGGAGAGAGAGAAUAAGAGGGCGAGAAUAGGUAGUUUCAAUUUUAUGUAGCCUAAGUUAGAGGGUAGGAAUUAUUCUUAAUUCCGCCUGAAAUUUAGAGAUGGCAACCGAGAUAGGGCAUCAGGCCCUAAACCCCAGGGCAGUGUUAGCAGUGCCCGAACUAAUCCCCUUUAUUAAAAGUGCGGCAGAAACCACCAGGGUAUCUGCAGAGCUGGCAGUGAUGCGUGUUUCGGAUGUGGUAAGACAGGCCAUAGGGUCAGAAAAUGUCCUCAGGUUGGUUCACAGAGUCAGCAUAACCAUCCCCCAACUCAGUUCGGUCGCUCGAAUCAGCAGGGUGCCUCUUCCAGUGCCACCAGUGGGAAGGGCCCAACCAGACUCUAUGCUCUUUAGUUUCGAUAGGAUCAGGGAAGUUCUCCUGAUGUGGUCACUGGUAUGUUACAAGUUUUCUAUUUACAUAUUUACGCAUUGCUAGAUCCAGGAGCUUCUUUGUCUUUUGUUACUCCAUAUAUAGCCGUUGAUUUCGAAAUCAGUCUCGAAAUUCUAGCAGAGCCCUUCUCAGUCUCUACCCAAUGGGUAAUCUAUCAUAGCUCGGCUGGUAUACAGGAACUGUCCGGUUGUGAUAUCUCAAAAAGUCACUUCAGCAGAUUUAGUCGAAUUAGAGGUGACUGAUUUCGAUGUCAUUCUCGGUAUGGAUUGGCUUUAUUUUUGCUAUGCCUUAGUUGACUGUUGAAAUAGAAUUGUCCAGUUUCAGUUUUCGAAUGAACCCGUCCUAAAGUGAAAGGGUAGUACUUCAGCACUUAGGGUCAACUUAUUUCUUACCUUUGGGCUAGAAAGAUGAUAUCUAAGGGACGUGUCUACCAUCUCAUUCGAUUCCAGGACUCUAGUUCAGAAACCCCUACUCUUGAAUCAGUAUCAGUUGUAUGUGAAUUCCCAGAUGUGUUUCCCGAAGACCUUCCUGGAGUCCCUUCUGAAAGGGAAAUUAAUUUCAAAAUUGAUCUUCUCCCAGAUAUUACCGGGAAAUACAUGGAGUUCAAUAUUCCCACCUGGAAAUGGGAAGAAGUGAACAUGGACUUUGUGAUGGACUUGCCUCGUACUUGUCGUCAGCAUAAUUCAGUUUGGGUCAUUAUAGACAGGAUGACCAAAUCAGCUAAUUUCUUUCCAGUUCAUACCUUCUAUUCAGUCAAGAAUUAUGCCAAACUCUAUAUUAUGGAGUUGGUCAGAUUGCACGGUGUUUAGUUAUCCAUCAUCUUAGAUAGAGGUACCCAGUUCACCUCUCAUUUUUGGAAAGCAUUCCAAAAUAGUUUUGGUACUUGAGUUCAUCUCAGUACAGUCUUUCAUCUUCAGACAGAUGGUCAAGCAGAAAGGGCCAUUCAGACCUUAGAAGAUAUGCUACGAGCAUAUGUGAUACACUUUAAAGGUAGUUGGGAUGACCACUUGCCUUUGAUUGAAUUUGCCUAUAACAAUAGCUAUUACUCUAGUAUUCAGAUGGCUCUGUUUGAGGCGCUUUAUGAGAGGAGGUGUAGAUCUCUCAUUAGUUGGUUAAAAGUGGGUGAGGCUGCAGCGGUAGGGCCUGACUUAGUGUUUGAUACCUUAGAGAAGGUCUAGUUAAUCAGGGAAAGGCUUAAGAUAGCUCAGAGCCGACAGAAAUAUACGCAAAUGUGCGCAGAAAGGAUCUCGAGUUUGAGAUUGAUGACUAUGUGUACUUAAAGAUAUCUCCUAUGAAAGGAGUAAAAUGUUUUGGCAAGAAGGGGAAACUCAUUCCCCAAUAUAUCGGUCCUUACCGAAUCUUCAGUCAUUCAAAAAGGUAUCUUACGAGCUUGAGUUACCCUCAGAUUUAUCUUCAGUUCAUCCAGUGUUCUAUGUCUCCUUGCUAAAGAAAUGCAUAAGUGACCCAACAGUCGUAGUCCCUAUUAAGGGCAUAGAUAUUUAGAACAACCUCUUUUAUGAAGAGAUCCCAGUCAUAAUCCUUGACUAUCAGAUUCUCAGACUGAGGAACAAAGAAGUUCCUCUAGUCAAAGUUCUUUGGCGGAAUUAGUCCGUUGAGGGAGCUACUUGGAAAGCAGAAGCAGACAUGUGAACCAAGUAUCCUCAUCUAUUAUCCGCUAAUCCAGACUCAGCCCAAGGUAAUAAUUUCCUCAAGCUUAACCAGUUCCAUGUUCAUAUUUCAGUUACAAACUUGGUAUAAGUUACCAUUGCAUGUUCAGUUAUACGUUCAUUAGCCAGUUCAGUCAUGUAUCCAUGCAUUAGAUAUGCAUGUUCAGUACAUAGAUUCAGUUUAUCAGUAAUCCUAGUCAUGCAUUCAUGAAUCAUGUUCAGCUAUAUCCAUGCAUCAGAUAUGUAUGUUCAGUAUGAUAAUUCAGAAUACCAGUAAUAUCAGUCAUAUAGUCAUGUUCCAAAUGUUCAUGUCCAGUAAGUAAAUCAGUCCCUCCAUAUUCUCAGUCUCAACAGUCUCAUUCAAGGAUGAAUGUUCCCAAAGGGGAUAUAAUGUAAUACCCCACCAAAUCCUAAGCUUAAUUCAGUCCUUUAGGCUUGUCAAGGGGUCCCAAACUUAGAAUAUUUUAGCUAAGUACUCAUACUUAGUGUCAUUUUAGACUACAAAGGUUGGCAAUCUUAUUUCGUGACCUUUACGUCCCUUAAAUAUUGAUGUUUAGGUUGAUUCAUAAUCAGGAAUAUCCGUAGGUGUUUCUGGUCAAGUUUCAGAUUUUUUGAACGUCGUUUGAGGCUCCUUUGGAAUCUUAAAAUAGUGGAUCAAUACGAUUUUGGCGCACCAUGUCAACUAUCGCAAUGAUUAAUAUUUUUCCAGCUACCAGCGUCCAAUUCCAGUGAAUCGAUGCGAACAUGGUGCAAUGCAUUGGCUAUCGCAUUGAUGCCAUCGACGUGCCACGUCGACCUGCGCAUCAGCAACCCAGUUUUCAGUCAUUAAAAGAUUGCAUUCUUGGGGGUAUUUAGGUCUUUUUCCCUCGACCCUCAUCCCCCAAAACACCAAAUUAAACCCCCUAUAGAGAAAAUAUAGACAUUUUCUCUUAAAGUUGCUCAAGAACAAAACCCUAGAAGAUUCAAUUUCAAAUCAGGAACUCAAGAUUCAACUAUAAAAUUUCAGAAAUUCUUUAACAAAGGUAUGUGAAGUGUUCAUCCAAGGGUUCCUUCCACCCUUGGAGUCCAAGAAUAUCUUUUGAACUUCAAGUAAUUGAUUUUAUGAUUUCCAUGGUUGGAAUUAAAGUGUAUUCAUGAUUGCUAUUUGGAUUAAGUUCCUAAUUCAUGAUUUUAUAUAUAUAUAUAUAUCAUGUGAAAUUGAUCAUUAUGUGUGUAGAUUCAUGUGAAUCCAUGAUAAACCCUUGACUUGUGAAAUUAGAGAUGAAUUAUGAUGCUCACUUGUUGUUCAAUACUAAGUGCAUAUACUAUGCUCACCAAGUAUUUGAUAAAUUGUCCAUGUGAACGAUUAAGAGAAUGAAAUCAUGUCAAGUUAGCUUAUGUGCAAGUUAUAUCAUGCAAGUGUUUGUCAAAAUGCCCCAAUGAAUGAAUGAUGAUCAAGUUCAUAGUUUACAUGUUUAAUGUUAUGCCAUGUCUCUUUAUUUAUGCUAUCGAGUCCUGAGGGUACUUGUACCCAAUAAUUUAGCUGAUUACCUAGAGCCAUGGUCAGUCAUAGAACAGUAUCAGUCACGACACGAUCAGUAGUACUCUCAGUCAGUUACAGAACUCAGGAAAAACUCAGUAAAAUCCAUAUUAGUCUAGUCUUAUUCAGUAUCUAGUUCAGACCUCGAUAAACUCAGUCAGCUAAUAGAAUUCAGUAGUAUUCUGUCAGUCCACGAAACUUAGUGAACUCAGUUCAGUUCAGCUAAAUAGUAAUCUCAGUAACUAUUCAGUCUUGCUUAGUAUAGACUAGAAAUCAGUUUAGUGUCUAUUCAGUUGAGAGUAGGAUUCAGCACCGAGUUAACCUAGGGAUUGGGGCAUUCNNNNNNNNNNNNNNNNNNNNNNNNAGCAAAGGGUUUGACCCUUAGUAGCAAUCCCUGCGUUACAGAACUACGUAGCCAGCGUAGGUUGAGGUAUCUUCCUGCUAGACAUUAUGAGGGUUGAUACGUCUCAUCCGAGUUAUCUUGCCAGGGAGGGUUGACGGAAGAGCUUCCUGUCAGAGAGAGUUAGCUCACAGCUUAUCCUUACCCGUGGCACGGUAUUGAUACCCUUCCAACUAGGGUUACAGGUUAGACCCCAAAUCAGUUAGAGAAGGGGCAUGUCGGUUAGAUGAUUACCUCCUAUAGUUUCAGUUCCAGUCUCAGUCUUAGAAUAGAACUAAGUUCAGUUCUACAGAUUCAGGACUAUCAGACAUAGUCACUCAGCUCAGUUUAAAACUCAGUAUAGCUCCACAGUAUAUAGAAUUGUCAGAUACAAUCAUUCAUAUAAUCAGUAAUACAGUAUUCAUAAACACAGAUAUCGGUUAUUAGUAUUCUGCAUCAAUACUCAGUAUUAGCACGAUCUCAAUUACAGUCUAUGUAUUCAUGCAUGUAAUCUUACUCAGUCAUACUCAUGUUAUUCAGUCAUUAUUGUGCAUGCAUAUGAACCCAUGUAUAUCAAACUACCUCACUGAGCAUACCGGUACAUUCAAAGUACUGACACAUGUUUUUCUUUGCGCUAUGAUAUCUUAUCUCAUAAGUUCAGACGCAUGGGCUCCAGAGCACCCUUAGCAGUUCAGAUUCUCAGCUUUCAGAGUAAUGGUGAAUCCUCAUAGUUCAAGGAUAUGCUUAUUAUUUAUAGUACUUCAGUUUUAUUUCAGUAGAUGGAGUUAGUUCGGGGCUUAUCCCAUCAACUCCCCAGUUCAGACAGUUAGAGACUUUUUCAUGCUAGAGUAUUUUCAGACAGUUAGAGGCUUUUUCAGACCAGAG